rnacentral:rRNA from 1 species
UGCCUUGAAGAUCGGAGUGCUUGCACUCUGUGAAACCGAUACAGGCUAGCGGCGGACGGGUGAGUAACACGUGGGUAACCUGCCCAUGAGAUCGGGAUAACACCUGGAAACAGAUGCUAAUACCGGAUAACAACAGAUGAUGCCUAUCGACUGUUUAAAAGAUGGUUCUGCUAUCACUCUUGGAUGGACCUGCGGUGCAUUAGCUAGUUGGUAGGGUAACGGCCUACCAAGGCGAUGAUGCAUAGCCGAGUUGAGAGACUGAUCGGCCACAUUGGGACUGAGACACGGCCCAAACUCCUACGGGAGGCAGCAGUAGGGAAUCUUCCACAAUGGACGCAAGUCUGAUGGAGCAACGCCGCGUGAGUGAAGAAGGGUUUCGGCUCGUAAAGCUCUGUUGUUGGUGAAGAAGGACAGGGGUAGUAACUGACCUUUGUUUGACGGUAAUCAAUUAGAAAGUCACGGCUAACUACGUGCCAGCAGCCGCGGUAAUACGUAGGUGGCAAGCGUUGUCCGGAUUUAUUGGGCGUAAAGCGAGUGCAGGCGGCUCGAUAAGUCUGAUGUGAAAGCCUUCGGCUCAACCGGAGAAUUGCAUCAGAAACUGUCGAGCUUGAGUACAGAAGAGGAGAGUGGAACUCCAUGUGUAGCGGUGAAAUGCGUAGAUAUAUGGAAGAACACCGGUGGCGAAGGCGGCUCUCUGGUCUGUUACUGAC